UCUCAGAAUAUCAUUCUCUACAUCAUACAAAAUUUUUAUUUAAAGGUGAACAGCCUCUUUAACUGUGACUUCAUUUUGUCUGACUAUGUCCAUUUGUAUCUUUAGGUUUUGAAGAUGAACGAGACAGAGAGAAUUCCAUCACUCCUGUCACUGUACUCCGUCCUGGAGGAUUUCAGGGUGGAGGAUACAGAUUUUGAGGCCCUCGCCUCUUAUUACGAACAUCACUACCGGGUCCAAUAUGGGAGCAACGUCACCUU